rnacentral:rRNA from 1 species
CUGCUAUCGGGAUAGGACUAAGACAUGCUAGUCGAGCGCGUCAGCCAAAACGAUGCGCGGCACACAGCUCAGUAACACGUGGCUAACCUGCCCUUGGGAUAGGAACACCCCCGGGAAACUGGGGCUAAUUCCCAAUAGGCGAAGAACUCUGGAAUGAGUCUUCACCAGAAAAGUUGCCAGGGUUAUGCUCCCUGACAACGCCCAAGGAUGGGGCCGCGACCGAUCAGGUUGUUGGUGAGGUAAUGGCUCACCAAGCCUUUUACCGGUGCGGGCCGUGGGAGCGGGAGCCCGGAGAUGGGCACUGAGACAAGGGCCCAGGCCCUACGGGGCGCAGCAGUCGCGAAAACUUUGCAAUACACGAAAGUGUGACAGGGCUAUCCCGAGUGCCAUCCGCUGAGGAAGGCUUUUACCCAGUCUAGAACGCUGGGGGAAUAAGGAGAGGGCAAGUCUGGUGUCAGCCGCCGCGGUAAUACCAGCUCUCCGAGUGGUGUGGAUGUUUAUUGGGCCUAAAGCAUCCGUAGCUGGCCAAGUUAGUCCCCUGUUAAACCCACCGAAUUAAUCGUUGGUUUGCGGGGGAUACUGCUCGGCUAGGGGACGAGAGAGGCAGACGGUAUUUUCGGGGUAGGGGUGAAAUCCUAUAAUCCCGGGAAGACCACCAGUGGCGAAGGCUGUCUGCUAGAACGCGCCCGACGGUGAGGGAUGAAAGCUGGGGGAGCGAACCGGAUUAGAUACCCGGGUAGUCCCAGCUGUAAACGAUGCAGGCUAGGUGUUUGGACGGCCACGUGCCGUUCUAGUGCCGCAGGGAAGCUGUUAAGCCUGCCGCCUGGGGAGUACGAUCGCAAGAUU